rnacentral:rRNA from 1 species
GACGAACGCUGGCGGCGUGCUUAACACAUGCAAGUCGAACGGAAAGGCCCUGCUUUUGUGGGGUGCUCGAGUGGCGAACGGGUGAGUAACACGUGAGUAACCUGCCCUUGACUUUGGGAUAACUUCAGGAAACUGGGGCUAAUACCGGAUAGGAGCUCCUGCUGCAUGGUGGGGGUUGGAAAGUUUCGGCGGUUGGGGAUGGACUCGCGGCUUAUCAGCUUGUUGGUGGGGUAGUGGCUUACCAAGGCUUUGACGGGUAGCCGGCCUGAGAGGGUGACCGGCCACAUUGGGACUGAGAUACGGCCCAGACUCCUGCGGGAGGCAGCAGUGGGGAAUAUUGCACAAUGGGCGGAAGCCUGAUGCAGCAACGCCGCGUACGGGAUGACGGCCUUCGGGUUGUAAACCGCUUUCGCCUGUGACGAAGCGUGAGUGACGGUAAUGGGUAAAGAAGCACCGGCUAACUACGUG